rnacentral:rRNA from 1 species
UUGACCUCAAAUCAGGUAGGACUACCCGCUGAACUUAAGCAUAUCAAAACCCGGAGGAAA